rnacentral:rRNA from 1 species
UUGGAGGGCAAGUCUGGUGCCAGCAGCCGCGGUAAUUCCAGCUCCAAUAGCGUAUAUUAAAGUUGUUGCAGUUAAAAAGCUCGUAGUUGAACCUCGGGGUCUAUCCAUUGGUCAGGCUUAAUUGUCUGCACUGGUGAGAUGGAUCUCUACCUUCUGAGGAACUUUCAUGCCAUUUAUUUGGUGUGAUGGGAAAUCAGGACUGUUACUUUGAAAAAAUUAGAGUGUUUAAAGCAGACUAUCGUCUGAAUACAUUAGCAUGGAAUAAUGAAAUAGGACGGACUGGUUCUAUUUCGUUGGUUUCUAGGAUCACCGUAAUGAUUAAUAGGGAUAGUUGGGGGCAUUAGUAUUCAAUUGUCAGAGGUGAAAUUCUUGGAUUUAUUGAAGACUAACUACUGCGAAAGCAUUUGCCAAGGAUGUUUUCAUUAAUCAAGAACGAAAGUUAGGGGAUCGAAGACGAUCAGAUACCGUCGUAGUCUUAACCAUAAACUAUGCCGACUAGGGAUCGGACGAAGUUAAUUUUAUAAUGACGCGUUCGGCGCCUUACGGGAAAC